UGAGGCAGAAGAAUCGCUUGAACCUGGGAGGUGGAAGUUGCAGUGAGCUGAGAUUGCACCCCUGCACUCCAGCCUGAGUGACAGAGACUCUGUCUCAAAAAAAAAAAAA
rnacentral:miRNA from 1 species